GUCCUCCUGUGUGUGUGUGCCCCCAUGUGUGUGUGUGCCCUCCUGUGUGUGUGUGCCCCCGUGUGUGUGUGUGUGCGCCCUCCCCGGGCACUGAGUGCCACCAAUGUGGCAAUGGUUGCACACUCACCGACGUGCGGCACUGAACUGUGGCACGGCUGUGCGGCACCGACACGGCGGGGUGACAACGCUGCGUUGGGUGUGACAACACGACGUCGAGUGUGACAACAACACUACGUUGGGUGUGACAACACUACCGUGGGUGUGACAACACGACACUGAGUGUGGCAACACUACGUUGGGGGUAACAAUGCUACACUGGGUGUGACAACGCUACGCUGAGUGUGAUGACACUACGUUGGGUGUGACAGUGGUACGUUGGGUGUGACAACACUACGUUGAGUGUGACAGUGCUACGUCGGGUGUGACAACGCUGCGCUGCGUGUGACAACACUCCGUGGGCUGUGACAGUGCUAUGUCGGGUGUGACAACACUACGCUGAGUGUGACAACACUCCAUCGGGUGUAACGGUCCUACGGCGGGUGUGACAACACUGGCGUCGGGUGUGACAACACUACGAUGGGUGUAACAGUGCUGCGUCGGGGUUGUGACAACGCUACCUCAGGUGUGCCAACACUGCGUUGGGGGGUGACAGCGCUACGCCGGGUGUGACAGCACUGGUGUUGGUUGUAACAACACUACAUCGGGUGUGAUUACAUCGGGUGUGACAACGCUGUGUUGGUGUGUCAGCUCUGUGGUGGUGGUCACAGCACUACAGCGGGUGUGGCAACACUACAUGGGGUGUGACAGUGUGACAUUGGGUGUGACAACACUACAUGGGGUGUGACAACACGACAUGGGGGUGACAAUGUGACACUGGGUGUGACAACACUACAU
rnacentral:lncRNA from 1 species